UUUUUCUAUGAACCGAAAAUGGGUUCGUGCGUGCGAAUGGUAGUGUGCGAUGGAGAGGGAAAGAGAGGUUCGUGGUGGCUGGGUCUACUAGAGGUUGUCGCCGGUGUGAGGUGGUGGAGGUGCGGUGGCCUGGGUGGCCGCUUACGGCUGCACAACUGG